rnacentral:sRNA from 1 species
UCCGACGCCGACUGAGGCACGAGCGGGUGACGCUGGGCCUGCAGCGCGGAGCAGAAAGCAGAACCGGCAGAGUCCUCCCUGCUGCUGUGUGGACGACACGUGGGCACAGGCAGAAGCGGGCCCUGUGACCAGCUGCACUGGUUUCGUGGAAGGAAGCUCCAGGACUGGCAGGAUGGGCUCAGCCUGUAUCAAAGUCACCAAAUACUUUCUCUUCCUCUUCAACUUGAUCUUCUUUAUCCUGGGUGCAGUGAUCCUGGGCUUCGGGGUGUGGAUCCUGGCCGACAAGAGCAGUUUCAUCUCUGUCCUGCAAACCUCCUCCAGCUCGCUCAGGAUGGGGGCCUACGUCUUCAUCGGCGUGGGGGCAGUCACCAUGCUCAUGGGCUUCCUGGGCUGCAUUGGCGCCGUCAACGAGGUCCGCUGCCUGCUGGGGCUGGUGAGUACGGUUCCCUCCGCAGCUGCCUGCCCAUUUCCUCUCAUCCAGCCGAGUGCAGCCUGACCGCGGCGCUGGCCGUAACACCGGGUGGAGAGCAUCUCUCGAGGCACGCGGGCUGGGUGCACCUGGUCGGGGAUCCUCAGCUGACUUUGCCUGCUCUGUGUCCCCAGUACUUUGCUUUCCUGCUCCUGAUCCUCAUUGCCCAGGUGACGGCCGGGGCCCUCUUCUACUUCAACAUGGGCAAGCUGAAGCAGGAGAUGGGCGGCAUCGUGACUGAGCUCAUUCGAGACUACAACAGCAGUCGCGAGGACAGCCUGCAGGAUGCCUGGGACUACGUGCAGGCUCAGGUGAAGUGCUGCGGCUGGGUCAGCUUCUACAACUGGACGGACAACGCUGAGCUCAUGAAUCGCCCUGAGGUCACCUACCCCUGUUCCUGCAAAGACAAGGGGGAAGAGGACAACAGCCUUUCCGUAAGGAAGGGCUUCUGCGAGGCCCCCGGCAACAGGACCCAGAGUGGCAACCACCCUGAGGACUGGCCUGUGUACCAGCAGGGCUGCAUGGAGAAGGUGCAGGCGUGGCUGCAGGAGAACCUGGGCAUCAUCCUCGGCGUGGGCGUGGGUGUGGCGGUCAUUGAGCUCCUGGGGAUGCUCCUGUCCAUCUGCUUGUGCCGGCACGUCCAUUCCGAAGACUACAGCAAGGUCCCCAAGUACUGAGCCAGCUGCUAUCCCCAUCUCCCUGCCUGGCCCCUGACCUCAGGGCUCCCAGGGGUCUCCCUGGCUCCCUCCUCCAGGCCUGCCUCCCACUUCACUGCGAAGACCCUCUUGCCCACCCUGACUGAAAGUAGGGGGCUUUCUGGGGCCUAGCGAUCUCUCCUGGCCUAUCCGCUGCCAGCCUUGAGCCCUGGCUGUUCUGUGGUUCCUCUGCUCACUGCCCAUCAGGGUUCUCUUAGCAACUCAGAGAAAAAUGCUCC